GUUAAGGUUAGCCCAGUGUCCUAGUUAGAACAGCUGGGACUGAUUCAUCGGGCUAUACUGGAUGGGUAUAGCCCGAACUGUGUAUUCUAUAGCCCUCCAUGCCAUUUCCCAGAAACUGUUGUCAGUAGAG